rnacentral:rRNA from 1 species
GGGUUGUGAGGUUAAGCGACUAAGCGUACACGGUGGAUGCCCUGGCAGUCAGAGGCGAUGAAGGACGUGCUAAUCUGCGAAAAGCGUCGGUAAGGUGAUAUGAACCGUUACAGCCGGCGAUGUCCGAAUGGGGAAACCCAGUGCAAUUCGUUGCACUAUCGUUUGAUGAAUACAUAGUCAAACGAGGCGAACCGGGGGAACUGAAACAUCUAAGUACCCCGAGGAAAAGAAAUCAACCGAGAUUCCCCCAGUAGCGGCGAGCGAACGGGGAGCAGCCCGGAGUCUGAAUCAGCUUGUGUGUUAGUGGAAGCGUCUGGAAAGUCGCAGGGUACAGGGUGAUACUCCCGUACACUAAAACGCACAGGUUGUGAACUCGAAGAGUAGGGCGGGACACGUGGUAUCCUGUCUGAAUAUGGGGGGACCAUCCUCCAAGGCUAAAUACUCCUGACUGACCGAUAGUGAACCAGUACCGUGAGGGAAAGGCGAAAAGAACCCCGGCGAGGGGAGUGAAAAAGAACCUGAAACCGUGUACGUACAAGCAGUAGGAGCCCACUAGUUGGGUGACUGCGUACCUUUUGUAUAAUGGGUCAGCGACUUAUAUUCUGUAGCAAGGUUAACCGUAUAGGGGAGCCGCAGGGAAACCGAGUCUUAACUGGGCGUUAAGUUGCAGGGUAUAGACCCGAAACCCGGUGAUCUAGCCAUGGGCAGGUUGAAGGUUGGGUAACACUAACUGGAGGACCGAACCGACUAAUGUUGAAAAAUUAGCGGAUGACUUGUGGCUGGGGGUGAAAGGCCAAUCAAACCGGGAGAUAGCUGGUUCUCCCCGAAAGCUAUUUAGGUAGCGCCUCGUGAACUCAUCUUCGGGGGUAGAGCACUGUUUCGGCUAGGGGGUCAUCCCGACUUACCAACCCGAUGCAAACUACGAAUACCGAAGAAUGUUAUCACGGGAGACACACGGCGGGUGCUAACGUCCGUCGUGAAGAGGGAAACAACCCAGACCGCCAGCUAAGGUCCCAAAGUCAUGGUUAAGUGGGAAACGAUGUGGGAAGGCCCAGACAGCCAGGAUGUUGGCUUAGAAGCAGCCAUCAUUUAAAGAAAGCGUAAUAGCUCACUGGUCGAGUCGGCCUGCGCGGAAGAUGUAACGGGGCUAAACCAUGCACCGAAGCUGCGGCAGCGACACUAUGUGUUGUUGGGUAGGGGAGCGUUCUGUAAGCCGUUGAAGGUGGCCUGUGAGGGUUGCUGGAGGUAUCAGAAGUGCGAAUGCUGACAUAAGUAACGAUAAUGCGGGUGAAAAACCCGCACGCCGGAAGACCAAGGGUUCCUGUCCAACGUUAAUCGGGGCAGGGUGAGUCGACCCCUAAGGCGAGGCCGAAAGGCGUAGUCGAUGGGAAACAGGUUAAUAUUCCUGUACUCGGUGUUACUGCGAAGGGGGGACGGAGAAGGCUAUGUUGGCCGGGCGACGGUUGUCCCGGUUUAAGCAUGUAGGCGGAUGUUCCAGGUAAAUCCGGAACGUCACUAACGCUGAGGUGUGAUGACGAGGCACUACGGUGCUGAAGUGACAAAUGCCCUGCUUCCAGGAAAAGCCUCUAAGCAUCAGGUAACAUCAAAUCGUACCCCAAACCGACACAGGUGGUCAGGUAGAGAAUACCAAGGCGCUUGAGAGAACUCGGGUGAAGGAACUAGGCAAAAUGGUGCCGUAACUUCGGGAGAAGGCACGCUGAUGGUAGGUGAAGCGACUUGCUCGUGGAGCUGAAAUCAGUCGAAGAUACCAGCUGGCUGCAACUGUUUAUUAAAAACACAGCACUGUGCAAACACGAAAGUGGACGUAUACGGUGUGACGCCUGCCCGGUGCCGGAAGGUUAAUUGAUGGGGUUAUCCGUAAGGAGAAGCUCUUGAUCGAAGCCCCGGUAAACGGCGGCCGUAACUAUAACGGUCCUAAGGUAGCGAAAUUCCUUGUCGGGUAAGUUCCGACCUGCACGAAUGGCGUAAUGAUGGCCAGGCUGUCUCCACCCGAGACUCAGUGAAAUUGAACUCGCUGUGAAGAUGCAGUGUACCCGCGGCAAGACGGAAAGACCCCGUGAACCUUUACUAUAGCUUGACACUGAACACUGGUCCUUGAUGUGUAGGAUAGGUGGGAGGCUUUGAAGUGUGGACGCCAGUCUGCAUGGAGCCAUCCUUGAAAUACCACCCUUUAAUGGCUGGUGUUCUAACGUGGGCCCGUAAUCCGGGUUGCGGACAGUGUCUGGUGGGUAGUUUGACUGGGGCGGUCUCCUCCUAAAGAGUAACGGAGGAGCACGAAGGUCAGCUAAUCCUGGUCGGACAUCAGGAGGUUAGUGCAAUGGCAUAAGCUGGCUUGACUGCGAGCGUGACGGCGCGAGCAGGUGCGAAAGCAGGUCAUAGUGAUCCGGUGGUUCUGAAUGGAAGGGCCAUCGCUCAACGGAUAAAAGGUACUCCGGGGAUAACAGGCUGAUACCGCCCAAGAGUUCAUAUCGACGGCGGUGUUUGGCACCUCGAUGUCGGCUCAUCACAUCCUGGGGCUGAAGUAGGUCCCAAGGGUAUGGCUGUUCGCCAUUUAAAGUGGUACGCGAGCUGGGUUUAGAACGUCGUGAGACAGUUCGGUCCCUAUCUGCCGUGGGCGCUGGAGAAUUGAGGGGGGCUGCUCCUAGUACGAGAGGACCGGAGUGGACGCAUCACUGGUGUUCGGGUUGUCAUGCCAAUGGCAUUGCCCGGUAGCUAAAUGCGGAAGAGAUAAGUGCUGAAAGCAUCUAAGCACGAAACUUGCCCCGAGAUGAGUUCUCCCUGACCCUUUAAGGGUCCUGAAGGAACGUUGAAGACGACGACGUUGAUAGGCCGGGUGUGUAAGCGCAGCGAUGCGUUGAGCUAACCGGUACUAAUGAACCGUGAGGCUUAAUCUUACAACGCCGAAG